CGAUGAUCGGCGCGCAUCGGCUGGCGCGGGCGCUGCCGCAGGCCGAGCUGAUCGUGGUGCCCGAUGCCGGGCAUGCCGGUUCCGAGCCCGGGAUCAUCGAC
rnacentral:tRNA from 1 species